UAGUGGUAGAGCACCCGCCUCGGCUGCGGGAGUUUGUGGGUUCGAUUCCCACUGCCGCCGCGCACCCACUGGCUCAAAUGAGCACAAGCGUACCCUGGCCUGGCGUUCGGCUUUCUCCAGGGGUGAUACGCUUGGGAAAAGCGCCAGCGCCCUGAAUUCCUGUCGAAACUCUCGUGAGCACAAAGAAAGAUAUGUCUGUGCCUGUGAU
rnacentral:lncRNA from 1 species